rnacentral:misc_RNA from 1 species
GCUGAAGAACGCAGUGAAAUGCGAUAAGUAAUGUGAAUUGCAGAAUUCAGUGAAUCAUCGAAUCUUUGAACGCACAUUGCGCCCGCCAGUAUUCUGGCGGGCAUGCCUGUUCGAGCGUCAUUUCAACCAUCAAGCCCCAGGCUUGUGUUGGGGACCUGCGGCUGCCGCAGGCCCUGAAAACCAGUGGCGGGCUCGCUGUCACACCGGGCGUAGUAGAUUUUAUCUCGCUCAGGGCGUGCUGCGGGUUCCGGCCGUUAAAAAGCCUUUUUUACCCAAGGUUGACCUCGGAUCAGGUAGGAAGACCCGCUGAACUUAAGCAUAUCAAUAAGCGGAGGA